rnacentral:rRNA from 1 species
AGUUUGAUCCUGGCUCAGGAUGAACGCUAGCUACAGGCUUAACACAUGCAAGUCGAGGGGCAGCAUUUUAGUUUGCUUGCAAACUAAAGAUGGCGACCGGCGCACGGGUGAGUAACACGUAUCCAACCUGCCGAUAACUCGGGGAUAGCCUUUCGAAAGAAAGAUUAAUAUCCGAUAGUAUAUUAAAACCGCAUGGUUUUACUAUUAAAGAAUUUCGGUUAUCGAUGGGGAUGCGUUCCAUUAGUUUGUUGGCGGGGUAACGGCCCACCAAGACUACGAUGGAUAGGGGUUCUGAGAGGAAGGUCCCCCACAUUGGAACUGAGACACGGUCCAAACUCCUACGGGAGGCAGCAGUGAGGAAUAUUGGUCAAUGGACGAGAGUCUGAACCAGCCAAGUAGCGUGAAGGAUGACUGCCCUAUGGGUUGUAAACUUCUUUUAUAUGGGAAUAAAGUAUUCCACGUGUGGGAUUUUGUAUGUACCAUAUGAAUAAGGAUCGGCUAACUCCGUGCCAGCAGCCGCGGUAAUACGGAGGAUCCGAGCGUUAUCCGGAUUUAUUGGGUUUAAAGGGAGCGUAGGUGGAUUGUUAAGUCAGUUGUGAAAGUUUGCGGCUCAACCGUAAAAUUGCAGUUGAAACUGGCAGUCUUGAGUACAGUAGAGGUGGGCGGAAUUCGUGGUGUAGCGGUGAAAUGCUUAGAUAUCACGAAGAACUCCGAUUGCGAAGGCAGCUCACUAGGCUGCAACUGACACUGAUGCUCGAAAGUGUGGGUAUCAAACAGGAUUAGAUACCCUGGUAGUCCACACAGUAAACGAUGAAUACUCGCUGUUUGCGAUAUACAGUAAGCGGCCAAGCGAGAGCAUUAAGUAUUCCACCUGGGGAGUACGCCGGCAACGGUGAAACUCAAAGGAAUUGACGGGGGCCCGCACAAGCGGAGGAACAUGUGGUUUAAUUCGAUGAUACGCGAGGAACCUUACCCGGGCUUAAAUUGCAUUUGAAUAAUCUGGAAACAGGUUAGCCGCAAGGCAAAUGUGAAGGUGCUGCAUGGUUGUCGUCAGCUCGUGCCGUGAGGUGUCGGCUUAAGUGCCAUAACGAGCGCAACCCUUAUCUUUAGUUACUAACAGGUCAUGCUGAGGACUCUAGAGAGACUGCCGUCGUAAGAUGUGAGGAAGGUGGA